rnacentral:RNase_P_RNA from 1 species
CAAGUAUUACAGGAUGAUUGCAUUUACUUUUAGUAAAUGAGGAAAGUCCGGACUCCAUGUCAGUCUAGAACAUAUCUAGAUAGGUGCCAACGAGAGUUGGAAGGGAGUGAUCUUUUGGAUAAAAGGGCAACAGAAAGUUAUACCGCCUAAUUUAUUAGGUAAGGGUGAAAUGGUAGUGUAAGAGACUACCGGGUAUUACAGUAAUGCAAUAUCGCGUGGUAACCCCCUCCUGGAGCAAGGUUAAACCGCAUAGAUAGAUAAUCAUCGUUAUACAGAAUCCGGCUUAUUGUGUACUUGCACA